GCAGUCGUGGCCUAAUGGAUAGAGAGUCGGACUUGCAACCCAAAGGUUGUGGGUUCGAGUCUCAGGUCCGGCA